CAUGCUGGUCUUGAACUCCUGACCUCAAGUGAUCCACCUGCCUCGGCCUCCCAAAAUGCUGACAUUACAGGCAUAAGCCACUGUGCCAGCCUUUUGUCCCUGUAUCUUAAUCAGCCCAUGAGGUAAACAUUACCUCAGUUUGAUUACCCCAGUUUAAGAUUAAAGAAAGUAGGGCUAGGAUAGAUUAAGGUUUGCCGAUAGACAAAGCAGCUAGAACCUGGACCUUCUGAUAUCAGCAUCAUUGCCACUUUCUAAUGUUGUCCACUUUAGCUAUUUUUCAGAUUUGUGGAAGAGCAUAGAGGAUAAUCUCUAACGUUUUCAUUUUCUUAGUGAAUAAGGUGCACGACAGAUACAGAUGAUUACCAUGCCAUUAUCUGUCCCAAAUGGCAUCAUUUAGUGUUGACUUCAAUAAAAUCCUCUCUCUGCUGUGUCAUGAAAGGAACUGGGAACUGGACUCACCUUAACAGUGCUGUUUUAAAGUGCCUGCUGCUUUUUUUUUUGUUUUUUUUUUUUUAAUCACAGCAGGAGGCUGUAAUAAAUUACAGCCUGGAAGAAGUUUUAAACUGGCAAGUUUGCCAGAUAUUUUAAGCAAUUUAUUUUGGGGUGUAUCAGCAGAUUUUUUCUUACACUACCAUUUGGGUGCCUGCUGACACAGCCUGAAUAAAUCUUUCAAACAUUUUCCUUCCUAGAGAUGGAUGAAGAUGAUGAACUCCAAGAUCCAGACUUUUCAUUAACUCUUCACUUGCCACCUGGUGCUUUCCUAUUACCAGAUAUCUCAGAAACUUAGAUAACUCUUUCCAGUGUGAGUUUGCAGUAUUUCAAGUCCCUCAAAGUGAUUUGGCAACAGCCAUAAGUUUUAUGGAAGAAUCAACUAAGAGUACUUCUGGUUUUAGGCAUAAAACUUGUAAUUUGGAUUGAUUAUUUCAUUACUAGUAUCUUGAAAAUUGCCAAACUUUCCAAUGGGAAAAGAGCAUGAAUAUUUAUAUAAAACAAAGGCUUAUUAUUUUCUUGAUUAUAGCAUGUUGAAUCUUAAAGUGACUUCUUCCUAAUUUUAAUCUGUUUUCUAAUUGGUUAGUGAAGUUUUUAGAAAUUAUUAUUAAUUUCUGACUCCAGAAUUCCUAAGGCAGCUUCAGUGAUACGUAUUUUAGUCUAGUAUUCAAAAAUGCUGAAAAUGCUGAUACCUGAAAAUAUUUGCUGUAGCAUAAUGAGACUGGAAAGGUAAAAUAAAAGAAACUAACUUCUAUUGAA